UUUUACAGCAACUGAAAUAGAAAACCACUGGACACACAGUGGGAGCUAUUCCCUGAGGAAAAGGCCUUGACAGCAGAUCCUGGAAGACAGCCUUAAGUCGGAUUCUGGAAAGGCCUAGCAUCUCUUCCAGAACAGCAGGGCUUCCGUUGGAAUGGAACUGUUUAAGUUCAGGCUAUGUUUGGCUAAGGUGUGGAAUACGUGAGCUGCUGAAUUACUCCAAGAAGGAGGAGAGGCUGUUUCUGAAACUGACUGUGGUUUCUGGAAUCCCUAAAACAAUGGCAAACACUGGGAGCCUGGACCCUGCUCCCCCAAGGUCAGCCUGACCCUAGUCCAGGAUCUUCUGAGAGGACCAAGGUCAGGGGGAGAAGCACUUGCUUCAAACGCCCAGAUGAGCUCUCUGGACCUCUCUUGUGAUCUAUAAAACAGGAAUAAUAGCCCUUCUCCUCAGUACUGCUGUUAAAGGAUGCAACAUUCGCCAACCAUCCAGUCAUUCGAUUGACACCUUCUGUAUAGCAGGCACUGUUCCAAAAACUGGUAGAGCGGUGAACACAGCAGGCAAAACUCAUCCCCUGGUGGAGCUACAUGAUGGAGGAAGACAAUGACCAGAUAAAGAAGGUGUCUUAAUCUUCUAAUGUGUAACAAAAUA